rnacentral:rRNA from 1 species
UACGUAGGGUGCGAGCGUUAAUCGGAAUUACUGGGCGUAAAGCGUGCGCAGGCGGUGAUGUAAGACAGGUGUGAGAUCCCCGGGCUUAACCUGGGAACUGCAUUUGUGACUGCAUCGCUGGAGUGCGGCAGAGGGGGAUGGAAUUCCGCGUGUAGCAGUGAAAUGCGUAGAUAUGCGGAGGAACACCGAUGGCGAAGGCAAUCCCCUGGGCCUGCACUGACGCUCAUGCACGAAAGCGUGGGGAGCAAACAGG